rnacentral:rRNA from 1 species
CCUACGGGAGGCAGCAGUGGGGAAUAUUGGACAAUGGGCGAAAGCCUGAUCCAGCCAUGCCGCGUGUGUGAAGAAGGCCUUCGGGUUGUAAAGCACUUUCAGUGGGGAAGAAAGCCUUGGGGCUAAUACCCUCGAGGAAGGACAUCACCCACAGAAGAAGCACCGGCUAACUCCGUGCCAGCAGCCGCGGUAAUACGGAGGGUGCGAGCGUUAAUCGGAAUUACUGGGCGUAAAGCGCGCGUAGGCGGUCUGAUAAGCCGGUUGUGAAAGCCCCGGGCUCAACCUGGGAACGGCAUCCGGAACUGUCAGGCUAGAGUGCAGGAGAGGAAGGUAGAAUUCCCGGUGUAGCGGUGAAAUGCGUAGAGAUCGGGAGGAAUACCAGUGGCGAAGGCGGCCUUCUGGACUGACACUGACGCUGAGGUGCGAAAGCGUGGGUAGCAAACAGGAUUAGAUACCCGAGUC